CUACGGGACGCUCCAGUGAGGAAUAUUGCACAAUGGGGGGAACCCUGACGCAGCAACGCCGCGUGGAGGAUGACGCAUUUCGGUGUGUAAACUCCUUUUAUAUGUCAAGAAAAUGACGGUAGCAUAUGAAUAAGCACCGGCUAACUCCGUGCCAGCAGCCGCGGUAAUACGGAGGGUGCAAGCGUUACUCGGAAUCACUGGGCGUAAAGGACGCGUAGGCGGGUUGGAAAGUCAGGUGUGAAAUCCUACAGCUUAACUGUAGAACUGCACUUGAAACUUCUAAUCUAGAGUAUGGGAGGGGGAGAUGGAAUUAGUGGUGUAGGGGUAAUAUCCGUAGAUAUCACUAGGAAUACCUAAAGCGAAGGCGAUCUCCUGGAACAUUACUGACGCUAAGGCGUGAAAGCGUGGGGAGCAAACAGGAUUAGAUACCCUAGUAGUC
rnacentral:rRNA from 1 species